rnacentral:rRNA from 1 species
UGGUGGCGAUGCGCUUAGGGGACACACCCGUUCCCAUCUCGAACACGAUGGUUAAGACCUAAGCGGCCGAUGGUACUUUACUGGAGACGGUACGGGAGAGUAGGUGGCUGCCAGAUU